AAAGUUUUCAAAUAUGACUCCAUAACAGGACGAAGGAUAAAUGAGGGGCAAGAGGAAGUAAGGGUGAAAUGGUUACCUUGCUCUGCAUGUGGAAAAAUCUGGGAGGAGACAUGGGAGCCGGCCUGCCAGUUCUCACCAGGUGCCAACCAUGUGUAAUGUCACACAUUGGUCUGUAAUUCAAUGAGUUAAAUACCUGCUAUGAGAUGUCAAGUUUGCCGUUACGGGCCCAGCCAUCCUGCUUGCGGAUGUGACUACUUUAGAUGAGGAGGAGCCGCGUUACACACUUUCAAUGGUUUCCACCCUAACAUGCUGUCAUGCUGUUUUUUAAUUUAU